GAUGAACGCUGGCGGCGUGCCUAAUACAUGCCAGUCGAGCGAACAGAUGAGGAGCUUGCUCCUCUGACGUUAGCGGCGGACGGGUGAGAAACACGUGGAUAACCUACCUAUAAGACUGGGAUAACUUCGGGAAACCGGAGCUAAUACCGGAUAAUAUAUUGAACCGCAUGGUGCAAUAGUGAAAGUCGGUUUUGCUGUCACUUAUAGAUGCAUCCGCGCCGUAUGAGCUAGUUGGUAAGUUAACGGCUUACCACGGCAACGAGGCGUAGCCGACCUGAGAGAGGGAUAGGCGACACUAGAGCUGGAACGCGGUCCAUGCUACUACGGGAGGCAGCAGUAGGGAACGGUCCGCAAUAGGCGAAAGCAUGGCGGAGUGACGGGGAGUGAGUGAUGAAGGUGUCGGGAGCGGAAAACUCUGUUAUUAGGGAAGAACAAAUGUGUAAGUAACUAUGCACGGAGUGACGGUAAUUAAUAAGAAAGCAACGGCUAACUACGUG
rnacentral:rRNA from 1 species